AUUGAACGCUGGUGGCAGGCCUAACACAUGCAAGUCGAGCGGGGUUUUCGGACCUAGCGGCGGACGGGUGAGUAAUGCGUAGGAAGCUGCCCGAUAGAGGGGGAUACCAGUUGGAAACGACUGUUAAUACCGCAUAAUGUCUACGGACCAAAGUGUGGGACCUUCGGGCCACAUGCUAUCGGAUGCGCCUACGUGGGAUUAGCUAGUUGGUGAGGUAAUGGCUCACCAAGGCGACGAUCUCUAGCUGGGUUGAGAGGAUGAUCAGCCACACUGGAACUGAGACACGGUCCAGACUCCGACGGGAGGCAGCAGUGGGGAAUAUUGGACAAUGGGCGCAAGCCUGAUCCAGCCAUGCCGCGUGUGUGAAGAAGGCCUUCGGGUUGUAAAGCACUUUCAGCGAGGAGGAAGGGGUGUGUGUUAAUAGUACACACCUUUGACGUUACUCGCAGAAGAAGCACCGGCUAACUCUGUGCCAGCAGCCGCAGUAACAC
rnacentral:rRNA from 1 species